GAAAGGGUUUGUACUGGUUGUGGAUGGGCUCACGGCCUAUCAGCUUGUUGGUGGGGUAAUGGCCUACCAAGGCGACGACGGGUAGCCGGCCUGAGAGGGUGACCGGCCACACUGGGACUGAGACACGGCCCAGACUCCUACGGGAGGCAGCAGUGGGGAAUAUUGCACAAUGGGCGCAAGCCUGAUGCAGCGACGCCGCGUGAGGGAUGACGGCCUUCGGGUUGUAAACCUCUUUCAGCACGGAAGAAGCGAAAGUGACGGUACGUGCAGAAGAAGCGCCGGCUAACUACGUGCCAGCAGCCGCGGUAAUACGUAGGGCGCAAGCGUUGUCCGGAAUUAUUGGGCGUAAAGAGCUCGUAGGCGGUUUGUCGCGUCUGCUGUGAAAGCCCGGGGCUUAACCCCGGGUGUGCAGUGGGUACGGGCAGACUUGAGUGCAGUAGGGGAGACUGGAACUCCUGGUGUAGCGGUGAAAUGCGCAGAUAUCAGGAAGAACACCGAUGGCGAAGGCAGGUCUCUGGGCUGUUACUGACGCUGAGGAGCGAAAGCAUGGGGAGCGAACAGGAUUAGAUACCCUGGUAGUCCAUGCCGUAAACGUUGGGCACUAGGUGUGGGG
rnacentral:rRNA from 1 species